UACAGAGGGGGCAAGCGUUAUUCGGAAUUAUUGGGCGUAAAGGGCGCGUAGGCGGUCUUUUAAGUCAGAUGUGCAAUCCCCGAGCUCAACUUGGGAACUGCAUCUGAGACUGGAAGACUCGAGUGCUGGAGAGGGUGGUAGAAUUCCACGUGUAGGGUGAAAUGCGUAGAGAUGUGGAGGAAUACCAGUGGCGAAGGCGGCCACCUGGACAGUAACUGACGCUGAGGCGCGAAAGUGUGGGUAGCAAACAGGAUUAGAUACCCUGGUAGUCCACGCUGUAAACGAUGAACACGUGGUGUAUCGGGAGUUGACCCCCGAUGUGCCGUAGCUAACGCGUUAAGUGUUUCGCCUGGGGAGUACGGUCGCAAGGCUGAA
rnacentral:rRNA from 1 species